ACCCUCUCACGGUCGCAACUGGAGAGUUUCCAGUCCUCUACCAGCCUUGACUAUGGGAGGGAGAGUCAAGCAGAGGCCUACCCAUUCCAUUCUUAGCUUGGGCAGUGACUAGAGAGCGGAAGGCCAUCUGCUACAAGU